rnacentral:rRNA from 1 species
UACGUAGGCAGCGAGCGUUGUUCGGAAUUACUGGGCGUAAAGAGUGCGUAGGCGGUGCUCUAAGUUCGGUGUGAAAUCUCCCGGCUUAACUGGGAGGGUGCGCCGGAAACUGGAGUGCUCGAACGUGGGAGAGGAAAGCGGAAUUCCUGGUGUAGCGGUGAAAUGCGUAGAUAUCAGGAGGAACACCUGCGGUGUAGACGGCUUUCUGGACCAUUGUUGACGCUGAGACACGAAAGCGUGGGUAGCAAACAGG